rnacentral:rRNA from 1 species
UACGAAGGGUGCAAGCGUUACUCGGAAUUACUGGGCGUAAAGCGUGCGUAGGUGGUUCGUUAAGUCGGAUGUGAAAGCCCUGGGCUCAACCUAGGAAGUGCAUUCGAAACUGCGGGGCUGGAGUCCUGGAGAGGAAGGCGGAAUUCUCGGUGUAGAGGUGAAAUUCGUAGAUAUCGAGAGGAACACCGGUGGCGAAGGCGGCCUUCUGGACAGUGACUGACGCUGAGACGCGAAAGCGUGGGGAGCAACAGGGA